GUUGGGGGUGUGGUUUGUAUGUGGGCCGGUUGCCAUUGACUUUGACACCGCGUCUCUUCCUUUCCUUUCCUUUUCUUCUUAGGAAUUCCUUUUCCUUCGUUUGAAGUCAGUCAAAGUAUGCACGCUCCCUCCGUCCAAAAAAUAAGUUAUUCUAUAUAUAUAUUUAUCUUAAGUCAAAUUUUCUUAACUUUGAUUAAAUUUAUAGAGAAAAGUAUCAAUAUUUAUGACAUCAAAUAUUAUAUUAUAAAA
rnacentral:lncRNA from 1 species